rnacentral:misc_RNA from 1 species
UCAAAAAUAAUUCAUUACUUUUUGAAAUAUUUUUCCCAAUUUCCCUUGUGUAACUGCUCCAUGUUGCUUCCACUAGACAGGCAUAUAUAUUAUUAAAAAUUCAAUUUUCAAUAAUAUUUUUGCCCUUUUAACCCUGUCGAGGGGCCAAAGAAUAGUCGGUGGAUAGCCUUGAUCCAAGAAAACACUUUUAGAUUUAGUCUGAUAAAUAUAGUAUUUUUUCUGAAUAAAAA